rnacentral:tRNA from 1 species
UCCGUGGUAGUAUAGUGGUCAGUACACAAGCCUGUCAAGCUAAUUCUCUGAUUCGCUUGAAGCCGGGGUUCGAUUCCCCGCCAUGGAG